GACGAACGCUGGCGGCGUGCUUAACACAUGCAAGUCGAACGGUGAACCAGGGCUUGCCCUGGGAAUCAGUGGCGAACGGGUGAGUAACACGUGGGCAACCUGCCCCAGACACCGGGAUAACCGCUCGAAAGAGUGGCUAAUACCGGAUACGACCACUUUGGGCAUCCAACGGUGGUGGAAAGGAUUCUGGUCUGGGAUGGGCCCGCGGCCUAUCAGCUUGUUGGUGAGGUAACGGCUCACCAAGGCGACGACGGGUAGCCGGCCUGAGAGGGCGACCGGCCACACUGGGACUGAGACACGGCCCAGACUCCUACGGGAGGCAGCAGUGGGGAAUAUUGCGCAAUGGGCGAAAGCCUGACGCAGCGACGCCGCGUGAGGGACGAAGGUCUUCGGAUUGUAAACCUCUUUCGGCCGGG
rnacentral:rRNA from 1 species